GUACUUACCUGGCAGGGGAGACACCGUGAUCAGGCAGGUGGCAUUCCCAGGGCGAGGCUCAUGCCUUGCACUCCAGGUGUCCUGACCUCUGUGAUUUCCCCAAACACGGGAAACUCAACUGCAUAAUUUGUGGUAGUGGAGAAAAAGUUAAUUAAAAAAAAAUCGUGCUCGC
rnacentral:snRNA from 1 species